rnacentral:rRNA from 1 species
GAUGUACGCUGGCGGCGUGCCUAAUACAUGCAAGUCGAGCGAACAGACGAGGAGCUUGCUCCUCUGACGUUAGCGGCGGACGGGUGAGUAACACGUGGAUAACCUACCUAUAAGACUGGGAUAACUUCGGGAAACCGGAGCUAAUACCGGAUAAUAUAUUGAACCGCAUGGUUCAAUAGUGAAAGACGGUUUUGCUGUCACUUAUAGAUGGAUCCGCGCCGCAUUAGCUAGUUGGUAAGGUAACGGCUUACCAAGGCAACGAUGCGUAGCCGACCUGAGAGGGUGAUCGGCCACACUGGAACUGAGACACGGUCCAGACUCCUACGGGAGGCAGCAGUAGGGAAUCUUCCGCAAAGGGCGAAAGCUUGACGGAGCAACGCCGCGUGAGUGAUGAAGGUCUUCGGAUCGUAAAACUCUGUUAUUAGGGAAGAACAAAUGUGUAAGUAACUAUGCACGUCUUGACGGUACCUAAUCAGAAAGCCACGGCUAACUACGUG